AAAAAGAAGCAUUUCACAGCGUGCGCGUCAGUUCAUAUUUAGCUUUAAGGUUGCAGAUGCUUGUUUCACUAUUUGCAGCGAGGUUUUAGACAAUGUUAAGUUAUAAACUAGUUGAAUAUAUAUGGUUUUCAACCAAAAAAAAGUUUCAGCUAGAAAUAAUAAGUUUUUCUAUCUUUAGAACGCAUUUAGUAUAAGAAAUAGUACUGUAUAUAGUUUGUACAUGAUGCUCCUAGUUUGGCAAUAAGAAAGGAAGUGUGGUGCUACUGCACAAUUAAUAUUAAAACUGUUAUAAUGCAGAUGUAGUUGAAAUAAUGAAUUUUUAACUAAAAAAUUGUAUGUUGAAACAUUAACUUCGAAAUAAUAUGAUCUAAAUGGAUGGUGGAGAGCAGCACAUUAAGUUUGUGUCUUGAUCACUACUGGAACAAGAGUUUGUAGAAGAAAAUUUGUCGACAACACCGGUACAUUUAGAAGCAGGAUGGAAACCGAAAGAGUGUGUGAAUUACAUGUAUCUACAGAGUGGUUUGUAAACCCAACAUUUGAAAAAAAAGACAACAUGCAUAACAUAAUAUGCAGUACUGACAU